GAGGGCACAGCUCAGUGGCAGAGCGCAUGGCUAGCAUGCAGGAGGUCCUGGGUUCAAUCCCCAGCACCUCCG
rnacentral:tRNA from 1 species